GCGGAAGUAGCUCAAUGGUAGAGCGUCAGCCUUCCAAGCUGAAUGUUGCGAGUUCGAGUCUCGUCUUCCGCUCCA
rnacentral:tRNA from 2 species